rnacentral:SRP_RNA from 1 species
UCGUGCUAGAUGGGGAAUUAGCGGUGCCCUGUAACCUGCAAUCCGCUAUAGCAGGGUUGAUGUUAUCUCUAGGUUGUUGAGGAGCUUGUUUAUAUAUCUUAGUGGUAUUGAAGUUACAACCUGUAGCGGCGGAUGUUUAAUGAACCCCGUCAGGCCUGGAAAGGAGCAGCGGUAAAUUAAAAUAUUUGCGUGCUUUCAGAUCAUUGUUUCGGAGCCAUAUAGGUUAUAUUGGCACGUUUUCAAGAUGGUCAAAGGGUAACGCACGG